UUAUGUCUUGUUCCUGUACUGCCCUUGGUGGGCAGUGUUUGUGGCCCUCUGCUCUGUGAUUAAUUAAUGAUAAUUAAGGUGGGUGUUCCACCUGGUACGAUGUUGGACGGGUUCCGCUCCAGAUGUUUGUUCUUGUCCUCGGCGCCGUUCCUCUUGACCUCUAACAGGAGAAGAAGGACACAUCAGCAUAGAGUGUAGAGAAGAGGUGGUGUUGCUAGAGGGGGUGUCACUACAGAGGAGAGUGGGUGUUACAAGAGGUGGUGUUACUAGCGGUGGUGUUUCCACCUGGGUUUUCCCUCUGCUUGCUGCUGCGCUGGGCGCGGGCGUACAGCGCCACCUGCUGCACCACCUCCAGCUGCUCCUCCACCCGAGGGAAGUGGAAGUCUGUGCACUCCACCG